AGAAAAUCAGUUUAAUUGAAAACUUAAAAAUUAACAAGUAAAGGGAGAGGGGUCCUAUGUUUACCAAUAAUAUGGAUCACAUCAAUGCAAUAUCUAGCAAUCACUCCUCAGAAUAGGGUUCACAUGUGAUAUUAGCGCACUGGUCAUCGUAUCCAUAUUCUACCCUUCCCACCCCAUUAAGGUAUUAAAGCACGAAAAGUUCCAUUACUUAUUGCAUGCUAGUACCCGUCCCAAUCCUAUCAGUCUCGAAGGCAUUUAGGACUACUAGUCCUAAAGGGAAAGGGAAUUGAGGCCUUUU
rnacentral:lncRNA from 1 species